GUUUAUUUGAUAGUACCUACUACUGGAUAACCGUGGUAAUUCUAGAGCUAAUACAUGCUAAAAAUCCCGACUCACGAAGGGAUGUAUUUAUUAGAUUAAAAACCAAUGCCUUUCGGGGCUCUUUGGUGAUUCAUAAUAACUUUUCGAAUCGCAUGGCCUUGCGCCGGCGAUGGUUCAUUCAAAUUUCUGCCCUAUCAACUUUCGAUGGCAGGGUCUUGGCCUGCCAUGGUUACAACGGGUAACGGAGGGUUAGGGCUCGACCCCGGAGAAGGAGCCUGAGAAACGGCUACUACAUCCAAGGAAGGCAGCAGGCGCGCAAAUUACCCAAUCCCGAUUCGGGGAGGUAGUGACAAUAAAUACUGAUACAGGGCUCUUUUGGGUCUUGUAAUUGGAAUGAGUACAAUUUAAAUCCCUUAACGAGGAACAAUUGGAGGGCAAGUCUGGUGCCAGCAGCCGCGGUAAUUCCAGCUCCAAUAGCGUAUAUUAAAGUUGUUGCAGUUAAAAAGCUCGUAGUUGAACCUUGGGCCUGGCUGGCCGGUCCGCCUCACCGCGUGCACUGGUUCGGCCGGGCCUUUCCCUCUGGGGAACCCUAUGGUCUUCACUGAUCGUAGCGGGGAACCAGGACUUUUACUGUGAAAAAAUUAGAGUGUUCAAAGCAGGCCUAUGCUCGAAUACAUUAGCAUGGAAUAAUAAAAUAGGACGUGUGGUUCUAUUUUGUUGGUUUCUAGGACCGCCGUAAUGAUUAAUAGGGACAGUCGGGGGCAUCAGUAUUCAAUUGUCAGAGGUGAAAUUCUUGGAUUUAUUGAAGACUAACUACUGCGAAAGCAUUUGCCAAGGAUGUUUUCAUUAAUCAGGAACGAAAGUUAGGGGAUCGAAGACGAUCAGAUACCGUCGUAGUCUUAACCAUAAACUAUGCCGACUAGGGAUCGGACGGUGUUAUUUUUUGACCCGUUCGGCACCUUACGAGAAAUCAAAGUCUUUGGGUCU
rnacentral:rRNA from 1 species